rnacentral:rRNA from 1 species
GACGAACGCUGGCGGCGUGCUUAACACAUGCAAGUCGAACGAUGAUGCCAGCUUGCUGGUGGAUUAGUGGCGAACGGGUGAGUAUCACGUGAGCAACCUGCCCCUGACUUCGGGAUAACCGCGGGAAACCGUGGCUAAUACCGGAUAUGACGCGCUAUCGCAUGGUGGUGUGUGGAAAGAUUUAUCGGUUGGGGAUGGGCUCGCGGCCUAUCAGCUUGUUGGUGGGGUGAUGGCCUACCAAGGCGACGACGGGUAGCCGGCCUGAGAGGGUGACCGGCCACACUGGGACUGAGACACGGCCCAGACUCCUACGGGAGGCAGCAGUGGGGAAUAUUGCACAAUGGGCGCAAGCCUGAUGCAGCGACGCCGCGUGAGGGAUGACGGCCUUCGGGUUGUAAACCUCUUUCAGUAGGGAAGAAGGCCUUCGGGUUGACGGUACCUGCAGAAGAAGCGCCGGCUAACUACGUG